UAUUUGCUGAGAUACACUAUGCGAGUGUCAAAAAGCAAGCUCGAGGUGGCGGUUUCGAUCACGGCCGUGGCUGCCGAAUUUCAAAAGGGGCAAAAUUCAA
rnacentral:lncRNA from 1 species